rnacentral:tRNA from 1 species
GCGGAUAUGGUUUAACGGCAGAAUAUUUCCUUGCCAAGGAAAAGAUCCGGGUUCAAUUCCCGGUAUCCGCA